rnacentral:rRNA from 1 species
GAGUUUGAUCAUGGCUCAGAACGUACGCUGGCGGCACGCCUAACACAUGCAAGUCGAACGAAGUAGCAAUACUUAGUGGCAGACGGGUGAGUAACGUGUAGGUAUCUGCCCUUUGGCCUGGAAUAACACGAGGAAACUUGUGCUAAUACCGGAUAAGUCUUUACGGAGAAAGCUUUAUGCACCACUGGAUGAGCCUGCACUUGAUUAGUUUGUUGGUGGGGUAAUGGCCUACCAAGACUGUGAUCAAUAGCUGAUUUGAGAGGAUGAUCAGCCACAUUGGGACUGAGACACGGCCCAAACUCCUACGGGAGGCAGCAGUGGGGAAUCUUGCACAAUGGAGGAAACUCUGAUGCAGCGAUGCCGCGUGAGUGAAGAAGGCCCUUGGGUUGUAAAGCUCUUUCGUCGGGGAAGAAAAUGACUGUACCCGAAUAAGAAGGUCCGGCUAACUUCGUGCCAGCAGCCGCGGUAAUACGAAGGGACCUAGCGUAGUUCGGAAUUACUGGGCUUAAAGAGUUCGUAGGUGGUUGAAAAAGUUAGUGGUGAAAUCCCAGAGCUUAACUCUGGAACUGCCAUUAAAACUUUUCAGCUAGAGUAUGAUAGAGGAAAGCAGAAUUUCUAGUGUAGAGGUGAAAUUCGUAGAUAUUAGAAAGAAUACCAAUUGCGAAGGCAGCUUUCUGGAUCAUUACUGACACUGAGGAACGAAAGCAUGGGUAGCGAAGAGGAUUAGAUACCCUCGUAGUCCAUGCCGUAAACGAUGUGUGUUAGACGUUGGAAAUUUAUUUUCAGUGUCGCAGGGAAACCGAUAAACACACCGCCUGGGGAGUACGACCGCAAGGUUAAAACUCAAAUGAAUUGACGGGGACCCGCACAAGUAGUGGAGCAUGUGGUUUAAUUCGAAGAUACGCGCAGAACCUUACCAACACUUGACAUGUUCGUCGCGACUCUAAGAGAUUAGAGUUUUCGGUUCGGCCGGACGAAACACAGGUGCUGCAUGGCUGUCGUCAGCUCGUGUCGUGAGAUGUUGGGUUAAGUCCCGCAACGAGCGCAACCCUCACUUUUAGUUGCCAUCAUUAAGUUGGGCACUCUGAAAGAACUGCCAGUGAUAAGCUGGAGGAAGGUGGGGAUGACGUCAAGUCCUCAUGGCCCUUACGUGUUGGGCUACACACGUGCUACAAUGGCAUCUACAACAGGAAGCAAAACGGCAACGUUAGGCAAAUCCCGAAAAGAUGCCUCAGUUCGGAUUGCACUCUGCAACUCGAGUGCAUGAAGCUGGAAUUACUAGUAAUCGUGGAUCAGCGUGCCACGGUGAAUGCGUUCCCGGGUCUUGUACACACCGCCCGUCACACCAUGGGAGUUGGUUCUACCUUAAGGCAAGGUUUUAAACCCUUGACCACGGUAUAGUCAGCGACUGGGGUGAAGUCGUAACAAGGUAACC